rnacentral:rRNA from 1 species
CCUACGGGUGGCAGCAGUGGGGAAUAUUGCACAAUGGGGGGAACCAUGAUGCAGCAACGCCGCGUGGGUGAAGAAGUAUUUCGGUAUGUAAAGCCCUGUCAGCAGGGAAGAAAAUGACGGUACCUGACCAAGAAGCCCCGGCUAACUACGUGCCAGCAGCCGCGGUAAUACGUAGGGGGCAAGCGUUAUCCGGAUUUACUGGGCGUAAAGGGAGCGUAGACGGCUAGGCAAGUCUGGAGUGAAAGCCCGGGGCCCAACCACGGGACUGCUUUGGAAACUGUGUUGCUGGAGUGCAGGAGGGGUAAGCGGAAUGCCUAGUGUAGCGGUGAAAUGCGUAGAUAUUAGGAGGAACACCGGUGGCGAAGGCGGCUUACUGGACUGUAACUGACGUUGAGGCUCGAAGGCGUGGGGAGCAAACAGGAUUAGAUACCCCUGUAGUC